rnacentral:rRNA from 1 species
GACGAACGCUGGCGGCAGGCCUAACACAUGCAAGUCGAGCGGAGCGGCGGACGGGUGAGUAAUGCCUAGGAAUCUGCCUGGUAGUGGGGGAUAACGUCUGGAAAAGGGCGCUAAUACCGCAUACUAUCAGAUGAGCCUAGGUCGGAGUAGCUAGUUGGUGGGGUAAAGGCCUACCAAGGCGACGAUCCGUAACUGGGCUGAGAGGAUGAUCAGGCAAACUGGAACUGAGACACGGUCCAGACUCCUACGGGAGGCAGCAGUGGGGAAUAUUGGGCAAUGGGAGAAAGCCUGAUGCAGCCAUGCCGCGUGUGUGAAGAAGGUCUUCGGAUUGUAAAGCGCUUUAAGUUGGGAGGCGUUACCUACAGAAUAAGCACCGGCUAACUUCGUGCCAGCAGCCGCGGUAAUAC